GUUGCUAAGGACAAGUGUAAUGGCAAAUGCUGGUCCAUAGGACAAAGUUAUUUCUUGGAUUUGCCACAUGGAGGUAAUUUUACAGAUUGCAUUCCUGAGCUUCUGAUGCAUCCCACAUGCAGAACUGAUUGCUAUCCCUCCUAUGCACUGUACUCUGCUCCAACUCACUAGCCCAGGAAAUUAUUUUGGACUGUAGAACAAAAUGCCUACCCUGCUUAUUUUCUUCAUGGGUGCCUAUUGUGUCCUUGGAACAUUUACACAGAUAGAGAUUAAGUCUGUAGCGGAGGACAAUGUGACCCUUCCUUGUCAGCAUAGACUUGGCUUGCUGGGGGAAAAGAGCUUGGACAUUGAGUGGCUUUCAAAUAUGUCUGGCAGUCAGCAACCUCAGUUAAUAAGCUAUAGUGGAG